AGAGGGACACUGGGGCCCUUCGAGAUUUUCAAAAUUUCCAAGGGUGUAAUGGUAAUUUCACGAAAAAUUUUUUUAGUGUUACCCAUAAAAUUUUGAUGGGGCACUGGAACCCUUGGAAUUUUAAGGCGUAGUGAUUUUUCAAAAAUUAGUAUUUUUUUACUAUUAUCUAAUCAGAUUUUGAUGGAGCAGUGGCUCAAUAUUUUUAAAAUUUUUAGUAGUUUAUCAACAGUUUUAUAUAUAAAAG
rnacentral:misc_RNA from 1 species